AUUGAACGCUGGCGGCAGGCCUAACACAUGCAAGUCGAACGGUAACAGGAAGCAGCUUGCUGCUUUGCUGACGAGUGGCGGACGGGUGAGUAAUGUCUGGGAAACUGCCUGAUGGAGGGGGAUAACUACUGGAAACGGUAGCUAAUACCGCAUAACGUCGCAAGACCAAAGAGGGGGACCUUCGGGCCUCUUGCCAUCGGAUGUGCCCAGAUGGGAUUAGCUAGUAGGUGGGGUAACGGCUCACCUAGGCGACGAUCCCUAGCUGGUCUGAGAGGAUGACCAGCCACACCGGAACUGAGACACGGUCCAGACUCCUACGGGAGGCAGCAGUGGGGAAUAUUGCACAAAGGGCGCAAGCCUGAUGCAGCCAUGCCGCGUGUAUGAAGAAGGCCUUCGGGUUGUAAAGUACUUUCAGCGGGGAGGAAGGGAGUAAAGUUAAUACCUUUGCUCAUUGACGUUACCCGCAGAAGAAGCACCGGCUAACUCCGUG
rnacentral:rRNA from 1 species